UCUUGGGGUCAAGCAGCCCCCCAAUGGUCUCGUGAUGCGAACCCUAUUAUGAACAUCCGCGGUUUCGGCCAAGACGGUCGUCGCUGCCAACUCAUCGAGUACAUGAGAAACGAGCGGAUAGACAUUAUGGCCAUCCAAGAAAUGAUGCAUACGGAGUUUCUCUGUGAACUCAAACAUUUGAGUUCCGACUUAUUUGCUUGGCACUGGCUCCCUUCUAGUGGGAGCGCAGGCCACUCGGGUGGUAUCCUUCUAGGUGUCAAGGAUGCCACCUUUGAGGUCGGUAGC
rnacentral:rRNA from 1 species